UAAUUACAAUUGUUUAAUUUCAAAUUUCGGUUGCGUCUUUACUCAAAAAUCGAAGUGCUACGAAGUUAUGGGUGUCACAAGAGGCGAAAUAUCAGCAGGUCGCCGGAGAUAGAAGACUACAAUCGAUGGCGAAGAUGACAGUGAAAGCGAAUCUGACUGGAGCAGCGAUUCAGACAGUGAGAGCACAAGUAACGAUGACCACUAUCAAAAUAUUCGCGUUUCAUCAAAAAAGCCUAGGAGGAGGACGAUUAACCUCGCGACACGACUCGAGCUAUUACAUCUCGAUCACACGACGCACAUGCACACAUGACGAAGGCAAAUAUCAAAAUAUUCGCGUUUCAUCAAGAAGGCUUUAGCCCAGGAGGAGGACGAGGAUAAAGUGAAGAGGAAGGAGCAAUGUAAAGAACGCAAAGAAAAAGAACGAGAAAAGAAACGUGACGAAGAUGAUGGCAAAAGAAAGUGGGAAAUCCUGGGUGUCGUGGCUAUUCCCUCCAAGAAACCGAAGAUGUUCGUAAAGGACGUAGAAAUUAAUAUUGGUGCGGUGUUGAAGAAACUUUCUGAGAUAAUUACAGCUUGUGGUAAAAAACGUACGGACAAACGCGAGCAAAUAGAGCUUUUGCACGAGCUACAAUUGAUAGGCGACGUUCAUACUUUCGGCCCGGUUAUAAUCAUAAAGAUUAAGUUUUCCAUUGUGUCUUUUACAUUUGAUUACAAUCCAAAAGUUUCUGAUGCUAUAAAGCCGGAGUAUUGGUCGAAAAUAUUGGAGCGUAUUAUGGUAAUAGCGAAACAAUAAUGGAAGAAAUGCAAAAGUUUGAAAUGACGCUGUAUAAAAUAGAUGAUUGUGUGUUGACACUGGUGGAACGUUUCGAUGAGGAAUUCAUAAAGUUGUUGAAGGAAUGUGAUUUACACAGUAAUGAAUACGUGGAAAGAUAUAUCGAUGAAUUUAAUGUUCAAGAUCAAAUGGGACUAGUUAUUGCUU